rnacentral:rRNA from 1 species
AUUGAACGCUGGCGGCAUGCCUUACACAUGCAAGUCGAACGGUAACGGGCCUUCGGGUGCCGACGAGUGGCGCACGGGUGAGUAAUACAUCGGAACGUGCCCGAUCGUGGGGGAUAACGAGGCGAAAGCUUUGCUAAUACCGCAUACGAUCUACGGAUGAAAGCAGGGGACCGCAAGGCCUUGCGCGGACGGAGCGGCCGAUGGCAGAUUAGGUAGUUGGUGGGAUAAAAGCUUACCAAGCCGACGAUCUGUAGCUGGUCUGAGAGGAUGAUCAGCCACACUGAGACUGAGACACGGCCCAGACUCCUACGGGAGGCAGCAGUGGGGAAUUUUGGACAAUGGGCGCAAGCCUGAUCCAGCCAUGCCGCGUGCAGGAUGAAGGCCUUCGGGUUGUAAACUGCUUUUGUACGGAACGAAAAGCCUUCUUUUAAUACAGGAGGGUCAUGACGGUACCGUAAGAAUAAGCACCGGCUAACUACGUG